rnacentral:lncRNA from 1 species
GGCCUGGCCAUGCUGCGAGGCCUCAGAGGGGCGGACUGCUUAGGAGGCCAACGACCUUCCUAAGGGUGGGCAGUCAGGGAAGGGCCAACAGCAUGCCCGCUGUGUCCUCAGGCGGGCCCUCCCUCCCUGGGACCCUCCCAGUGCCAGCCUCCUGCCUGGGCCAGGCUGGGAGCUCCCUGACUGCUCUGGUCCCUGGGCUGCUCCCACGAGCCUGACUCUGACGGUGUCUGCUGCACAUCAUCCGCGGAGUCCCGAGUUUCGGCCACUGCGGUCGUCCCCAUUUCACAGCCAGGAAACAGAGGACAGGGGAAGUCAACUGGAGGUCACGCGGUGAUGGGGAAACCGAGGCACGGAGCUGUGAAGUGACUUGCCCAAGGCCCCACCGGCAGCCAGUGGCAGAGCCAGGUGCCCCCCAAGAUGUUCACGCCCUAAUCCUCAGGAUCUGCAGACAUGUCACCUUUCAUGGCAAAAGGUCUUUGCAAAUGUGAUGAAACAUCUGAAGAUGGCAAGAUUCUCUUAGGUGAUCUCAGUGGGUCCCAGAGGGGGAACGAUGAAUUGACAGUCUCCCAGCCUGUCUUCCCCACCAGCCAUCCAAGAACCCUGCCUGCCAGGAUGCUGGUCCUGUGUCUGCCUGCCCCACGCCACCGUCACCUUGCAGAGAAACACUGAUUGCCUUCACACAUCUGGCUCCAGCCAACUCCCUCCUCUGCACACCUUGAGGCUCCCAGGCAGAGAGGAGGCUCUUCCCCAGGCCGGGGGCCCCCCUGGGAGGGUGUCCAAUGUCAUGCCAGCCAAGGCCCGUGUGGGCGUAGCUCCUGCAGGUUCUCAAGGUUGUAGCCCGCACCCUGCUCCUUGGUUUUGUGAAAGAUCAAAAUCAGGGCCUCACAUAGAACUUUAUAUUCCAACGCUGCAAGUCUCAACACAAACCAAUGUGUUGACUUGAAAAUAAAUAUCACUAAUAAAAUGGAGAAGAGAGCUGGCAUGGAAAGAUUGGGAAAAUGUCAAGAAUUCUUGGUGCUGUAUGUUUAUCAGUAAAUAAAGCACAUCUGAGGGGUGAGGGGUCGGCCCUUGGACCUUGGGCUCUUACAGAUGGGUGCCAUUUUCAACAGCUUUGGAGACAAACAUGGUGUUUGCCAAUAUCUUGGUUUUGCCAAGUCAAAGCUAACCAAUAUCAGCACUUCAUCUAAGCAAUUCCCACUAAGGAAAGGUAUUUUCAACAACAACAAAAGAAUAUAAAGGAUAUAGUCUUGGGAAGGAAAAGGAUAUUUGUCUUGUUUUUCUUUGAGAAAAGAAAUGAGCCUCUCAAUGUUGCCCAGGCUGGAGUGCAGUGGUGCAAUCACAGCUCGUUGUAGCCUUGACCUCCCAGGCCCAAGUGAUCUUCACACCUCAGCCUCCUGAGUAGCUGGGACCACAGGCACGUGCUACCAUGCUUGGCUAAUUUUUUUUUUUUUUACUUUUUGUAGAGACGGGGUCUCAUUAUGUUGCCCAGGCUGGUCUCAAACUCCU